ACCUUCGUGGUGUAAUGGUCAGCACACUCGGCGCGUAUUCGAGAGGUCUGAGGUUCGAGUCCCGGCGAGGGCA
rnacentral:tRNA from 1 species